rnacentral:rRNA from 2 species
CUUCUUGAUCCAGAGACUUUCCAGAGAUGCUUUGGUGCCUUCGGGAACUCUGAGACAGGUGCUGCAUGGCUGUCGUCAGCUCGUGUUGUGAAAUGUUGGGUUAAGUCCCGCAACGAGCGCAACCCUUAUCCUUUGUUGCCAGCGGUUCGGCCGGGAACUCAAAGGAGACUGCCAGUGAUAAACUGGAGGAAGGUGGGGAUGACGUCAAGUCAUCAUGGCCCUUACGAGUAGGGCUACACACGUGCUACAAUGGCGCAUACAAAGAGAAGCGACCUCGCGAGAGCAAGCGGACCUCAUAAAGUGCGUCGUAGUCCGGAUUGGAGUCUGCAACUCGACUCCAUGAAGUCGGAAUCGCUAGUAAUCGUAGAUCAGAAUGCUACGGUGAAUACGUUCCCGGGUCUUGGUACACACCGAA